rnacentral:rRNA from 1 species
AGAGUUUGAUCCUGGCUCAGGAUGAACGCUGGCGGCAUGCCUAAUACAUGCAAGUCGAACGAGGGUCCUUCGGGACUCGAGUGGCGAACGGGUGAGUAACACGUAGGGAACCUGCCCGUGCGACCGGGAGAACUUUCGGAAACGGAAGCUGAUACCGGAUAGGGACAGAGACGGCAUCGACUCUGUGUUAAAGGAGCUGAAAGGCUCCGCGCACGGAUGGACCUGCGGUGCAUUAGCUGGUUGGUGAGGUAACGGCCCACCAAGGCGACGAUGCAUAGCCGGCCUGAGAGGGCGGACGGCCACACUGGGACUGAGACACGGCCCAGACUCCUACGGGAGGCAGCAGUAGGGAAUUUUCGUCAAUGGGCGCAAGCCUGAACGAGCAAUGCCGCGUGAACGAGGAAGGUCUUCGGAUCGUAAAGUUCUGUUGAAGGGGAAAAAGAGCGGAGAGAGGAAAUGGUCUCCGAUUGAUAUUACCCUUCGAGGAAGUCACGGCUAACUACGUGCCAGCAGCCGCGGUAAUACGUAGGUGGCGAGCGUUAUCCGGAAUGAUUGGGCGUAAAGGGUGCGUAGGCGGCCUGCUAAGUCUGGAGUGAAAGGUACCGGCUCAACCGGUACAGGCUCUGGAAACUGGCGGGCUAGAGAGCAGGAGAGGGCGGUGGAACUCCAUGUGUAGCGGUAAAAUGCGUAGAUAUAUGGAAGAACACCAGUGGCGAAGGCGGCCGCCUGGCCUGUUACUGACGCUGAGGCACGAAAGCGUGGGGAGCAAAUAGGAUUAGAUACCCUAGUAGUCCACGCCGUAAACGAUGAGGACCAAGUGUUGGGGAAGACCCAGUGCUGCAGUUAACGCAGUGAGUCCUCCGCCUGGGGAGUAUGCACGCAAGUGUGAAACUCAAAGGAAUUGACGGGGGCCCGCACAAGCGGUGGAGUACGUGGUUUAAUUCGAAGCAGCGCGAAGAACCUUACCAGGCCUUGACAUAGGGUGCGAAGCUAUGGAGACAUAGUGGAGGUAAACAUCCAUACAGGUGGUGCAUGGUUGUCGUCAGCUCGUGUCGUGAGAUGUUCAGUUAAGUCUGGCAACGAGCGCAACCCUCGUGAUGUGUUACCAAUAUCGAGUUAGGGACUCACAUCAGACUGCCGGUGAGAAACCGGAGGAAGGCGGGGAUGACGUCAAAUCAUCAUGCCCCUUAUGGCCUGGGCUACACACGUACUACAAUGGCGGCGACAGAGGGCAGCGAGCCUGCGAAGGCAAGCGAAUCCCCAAAAAGCCGUCCCAGUUCGGAUUGGAGUCUGCAACCCGACUCCAUGAAGUUGGAAUCGCUAGUAAUCGCGGAUCAGCAUGCCGCGGUGAAUACGUUCUCGGGCCUUGCACACACCGCCCGUCA